rnacentral:rRNA from 1 species
AAUAUUGAGAGUUUGAUCCUGGCUCAGGAUGAACGCUGGCGGUGUGCCUAACACAUGCAAGUCGAACGAGCCGCCCAUUCUGUAUUUGAGGGUGAUAUAAUAGCAAUAUGUAUUAUGUAUAUUUGCUUAAAAGAUAUAAUUCGCAAUCGAUUUAUAUUGGAUUUUCUUCCGAUCUAAAGAGAAGAUUAUCUGAGCAUAAGAAUAAAUAUCCUUGUGAAUUGAUCUAUUACGAAGCAUAUAGAAGUAAAAUGGAUGCUCAAGAAAGAGAAAGAAAGUUGAAAAACUUUGGCUCUGGAUUGGGUCAUCUAAAAAAUCGAUUGCUUGAAUCUCUUCAAGUGUAGAAUGGACGGCUAGUGGCGAACGGGUGAGUAACGCGUAGGAAUUUGCCCCGAACUGGGAAAUACCCAGCCGAAAGGCUGGCUAAUGUCCCAUGGUCCCAGCUCCUUCUAAAGUUACAUAUAUUUACUGUCUGAUGAAGCGAAUAAAAACAUUUCAUCUCGGUAGAACUAUGUGGUUUUAGAAGGGGCUGGGUAAAGAUUUAUCGGUUCGGGAGAAGCCUGCGUCCUAUCAGCUUGUUGGUGGGGUAAUAGCCUACCAAGGCGAUGACGGGUAGCUGGUCUGAGAGGAUGGUCAGCCACAAUGGGACUGAGACACGGCCCAUACUCCUACGGGAGGCAGCAGUUGGGAAUCGUACACAAUGGAGGCAACUCUGAUGUCGCGACACCGCGUGAAGGAUGAAGGCUUUCGGGUUGUAAACUUCUUUUAUAGGGGACGAUGAUGACGGUACCCUAGGAAUAAGCGACGGCUAACUACGUGCCAGCAGCCGCGGUAAUACGUAGGUCGCAAGCGUUAUCCGGAAUUAUUGGGCGUAAAGAAUGCGUAGGUGGUUUGAGAAGUUGUCCGUUAAAUCUUCAGGCUCAACCUGAUUCUCGCGGACAAAACUCUUAAACUAGAGUAUAACAGGGGCAAGUGGAAUUCCCGGUGUAGGAGUGAAAUCCGUUGAUAUCGGGAGGAACACCAAUGGCGAAGGCAGCUUGCUAGGUUAAUCUGACACUGAGGCAUGAAAGCGUGGGGAGCGAACGGGAUUAGAUACCCCGGUAGUCCACGCCGUAAACUAUGCAGACUAGCUAUCAGAAGUAUCGACCCUUCUUGUAGCGAAGCUAACGCGUUAAGUCUGCCGCCUGGGAAGUACGGUCGCAAGACUAAAACUCAAAGGAAUUGACGGGGGAUCGCACAAGCGGUGGAACAUGAGGUUUAAUUCGACGCUAAGCGGAGAACCUUACCAGGGCUUGACAUCUAGGGAAUCCUCUGGAAACAGAGGAGUGCCGCAAGGAACCCUAAGACAGGUGUUGCACGGUUGUCGUCAGCUCGUGCUGUGAAGUGUGCGGUUAAGUCCGUAAACGAGCGCAACCCUUACCAUGUGUUAUACAUGUCACAUGGGACUGCCGGUCUUAAACCGGAGGAAGGUGGGGACGACGUCAAAUCAGCGUGGCCCUUACGCCCUGGGCUACACUCGUGUUACAAUGGCACAGACAAUGGGUUGCUAAGCCGUGAGGCGGAGCCAAUCCCACCAAAAUGUGCCUCAGUUCGGAUUGUAGUCUGAAACUCGACUACAUGAAGCCGGAAUCGCUAGUAACCGUGGAUCAGCUACGCCACGGUGAAUACGUUCUCGAUCCUUGUACAAAAUAAAUGCGCUU